GACGAACGCUGGCGGCGUGCCUAAUACAUGCAAGUAGAACGCUGAAGGAGGAGCUUGCUCUUCUGGAUGAGUUGCGAACGGGUGAGUAACGCGUAGGUAACCUGCCUGGUAGCGGGGGAUAACUCUUGGAAACGCUAGCUAAUACCGCAUAACAGUAGAUGUUGCAUGACAUUUGCUUAAAAGGUGCAAUUGCACCACUACCAGAUGGACCUGCGUUGUAUUAGCUAGUUGGUGGGGUAACGGCUCACCAAGGCGACGAUACAUAGCCGACCUGGGAGGGGGAUCGGCCACACUGGGACUGGGACCCGGCCCAGGCUCCUACGGGAGGCAGCAGUAGGGAAUCUUCGGCAAUGGACGGAAGUCUGACCGAGCAACGCCGCGGGAGGGAAGAAGGUUUUCGGAUCGUAAAGCUCUGUUGUAAGGGAAGAACGAGUGUGAGAGUGGAAAGUUCACACUGUGACGGUAUCUUACCAGAAAGGGACGGCUAACUACGUG
rnacentral:rRNA from 1 species